ACCAAAUCAAACUCCAACACCCAUUCUCCAAUCCCAACAAGCAAAGAGGGAAAGGAAAGAGAAGGCUCCGGAGAAAGUUUAAGGAAAUGGGUGCGUUGGCAAGAAGGUUACAUUUUUAUUUUUGUAGUCUUGCAAUUGCAAAAUCACCCUCUUUCCUACGCCACCCAUUCCUCAAAUUUCCCUGAGCUUCUCUCUUUCCACUAAAACUCUCAUAGUCAUAUAUAUACAUAGCUAGCCACAAAAACUCCUAUAUACCCACAAAAUGAGUGGUAAAACAAAAGGAUGGGAACGAGAGUGAGAAGAAACUAAGAUCUAGAGUGAGAGGGAAAGGAAGAGUUGACUAUGGAAACUCUAGGGAGUGGAAGGAUUGGAAAGACAUAACUCUUUGUAACAACACUCUUUUAUCAGUUUGUCUUUCCUAAUCCUCCCAUUCCAUUGGUUUCCUUUCAUUCCUCCCUUUCCCUUUACUUUAAUUCAUGGGGUCUGUCUAUUAAGUAAGUAUAUAAUUUUUUCAUCACUCGAUUUAACUUUCAUUUUGUUGUGAUAAUCAUAGAAUUCUUUAGCAUAUGAUUUCUUUUAGAUAUCAUGGCUGGUAAUAUUAAUGAGAUAGUCAUAGCAUAAGAUAGUUAAUAUAUAAUAUUUAUUGUGUUUUCUUCAUCAGAUGUUUGUAAUAGGCUUGAAAUUGCACUUGAUUUUCUCUUGUGUUACUUUUUCAAGUGUUAAAUUAUUCUACUAUUUGCAUAAUCAUAAUUUUUUUUGGAUAGAUUAUCCUCCUUUGCUAGUGGAUGAGAAAUUUAAGAGACUGUGAGAGCUUUCUGGGAAUUAAGUUUUAUUUGUGUAUUUUUUUUUUUGAGAAUCUAUUUGUGUUGGUUUUAAUUGUUACAAUUUUGCAGGCUAGUUUUAAUUGUAAUACAGUAAUCUGGGUAGAGUUUCCUAGCUCCCUCUUGACUUUUGUACGGAGUAUGUGAUAGAGGAUAGAUUAGCUAUUGUUUUAUUUCCAAAAAAGGUGUACUAGACUAGAGAUUGCGAAGGAAAAACAAAUUGUCAGAUUAUUAUAUAAAAAUGAUUUUCAUGGACGAAAAACCAAUCAGGGCUAGACCCAUCUCCUAUAAAUUUUUGUUAUCAAAAUUGUUUUCAGUCUCAGUGUCUUCAAAAUUUGUCACAAAAGUGGUUUUUGACAUAUUGUUAAAAAAAGAUAAAUACAAAACUUAACUUGCAUUUUCGGUUGGAAAUUAUGACUUGAAUCCUCACUUAUUGCUGAAACGUAGCAAAAUAAUUUAUAGAUUUAUAUAGAUUUUGCGCACUGUUUUCGGAACUCAGCAAAUUUUUUUUCUAACAAAACUUUCACUAAAUAGUAUCAUAAGGUAUUAUUUACAUUUAAAAAUUAUUUUAUACAAUAUUUUUAGUUUUCCACGAUAAACAGAUUCAAACUUUUUAUUAUUAUUUUUUUUCUAAAAUAAAAGCUCUGAACCAAAGUCGCGUCACUCAUGUGAUUGGCGAAAGACAAAAGUCACAUGAACUGCUAAAAGUAAUAAUUUAUGAACUGCUAAAAAGUGAGAAGGCAGUAAAAAUUUCCUCAAAUUGGACGUAUUUAUUGACCAAAGGGGUUGGUCGCCUGAUUUCAAAGACAUUUAUUAAAAUCAAGUUAUGGAUUCAAAUCUUAGAACCACUCGAGAGGAACUCUUCUGUAUGUGUUUGUGAGCUUUAUUGGCAAUUGUGUAAUCAGAAUACUUUCAUAUCAUUUUUGAGUUAUAAUGAUUUUUUUUUUUUUUUUUUUUUUUUUAAGAAGAAAGAGAUAUAGUGAAAUUGGACUCAAUAUACUUAGUUUUUAACAAUUAAAAUUGUCUCCUUUCCCUUAGCCUGCUUAGAAAUUUUCGAUUGGAUAGGAUUUAUUUUACUGAAAUUGAAAACACCGUAACAAAAUAAAUUUUAAAUAUGUAAACAAUGUCAUGGAAUUCAUUUUUAAUGAAAAAGUUACUGAAAAGUGGAGUUUGUGGAUCAUGUGAACAAUGCAUGAGACCCACAAAUUAAUGAAAAAUGGUUGGAAAGUCAGAAAUAUACGGCUACUGUUCAUAGUAUCCGUUUGGCUACACGUUGCGUUUCCUGCGUUGCUAUUGUUCAUGAACAGUAGUCGUAUAUUUCUGACUUUUCAGUAAUUUUUCAUCAGUUUGUGGAUCCUACGAUACUAUUCACACAUUUAAAAUAUUUUCAACUUGUAGUUUCAGCAAAAUAAGUUUUAUCCAAACGGACUUUAAUAUUUUUCUAGGUUAAAUGAGGCUAAAGGUAGACACAAAAUAUUCAUUUUUAAAAAUAAGUAUUAUUGUGCCUGUGUGAUACAUGAAUUAAUAAAAAAAUAUGAUAUGUUAAUAUUUCUUUUGAAUUUUUUAAUCAUUUUGAUAAUUAAGUUUCAUUUGGAUGGUAUUAUAUAUACAUAAAAUAGCUUUGGUAAUAGAGUUUCACUUAUUGUAAAUUUUGUUAUAAUUUAAUGGUUUAAUAGUCAUAUGAUAAAUUUUUUUUUAAAGAGAGUUUCAACCUAUAGCGUCUGCAUUUGAUGAUUACACGCAAUCACAUAACAAAAUUAAAAAUCAUACGAUUUGUAGUAUUUGCAUAUAGUAACAAGGUGCAAGCACUUGUGUAACCCAAAUUUUUAAUAAUUAUUAAAACCAAAAUUAAGAUAGAUUAAAAUUAAUAUAAAAUAAUUAAUGGAACUGUUUUGUAAUUUGAAAAACUCUAAUAGCAAUGAUAAUAGUGAAGUUAUUGCUAACUAUGAUUAUCUAAUAGUUUAAGUACAAUUUUAUAUUUUUUGAGAAACAAGUAUGGUUAAUAUUGUUGCGGCUGCCUUAUCUAUAAUGUAUAUUGCAUAGGGUGCAAAAAAGGGAAAAUUCUUAUUACUCUUUGAGCACCGGAGAAAUUGUACUCCCUUUUCUUAUAUCACGGUGGACUCUACUAUGAAUAUAAUGAGUGACCCUUAUUAUAAAUAUGAGAUAAAAGAGUUUUAUUUUUUCAUGUUUCGAGAGUACUUAAAUACUCUAGAAGCGUGGAAAAAUUGUGCUUUUUUCUUUUACAUUUACGAUGGACUUCACCAUGAAUAUAACGAGAGAUCCUAUCAUAAACAUGAGAGAAGAGUUUCAUUUUCUAAAAUACCCUAUCAUAAAUAUGAAAUAAAAGAGUUUCAUUUUCCGUUUCGAAAGUACCUAAAAAAAUUACUUGUUAGUAUACAAUUUGGCGUAAUCAGACUUUUUUUUUUUUUUUAUAACAAUAGUAAUGCUCUCAUAAAAGGAAAAAAUAAUAAUAAAUCAAAGUUAUGUCAUAUCACAUAUAAGACUUGGACUAUCUCAUAUUUUUUGUGUGAUAGACAACUUACAAGUAUUUGUAUAAUGUGAGUCACGGUCCACUUGACCUGCCCUGCUUCAUGCUUAUCUUUUUCGCGAGUGCAAGUUCCUAUGCAAUAUCUUAAAUCUCAAUCAGAUGUCGCUUUGUGGGACAAACUGCCAGAGUCUUCAAUUUUAUUUUGAAUCUUUGUUCUUCUUCAAAGCAGUUUCGUGAGGUAUCUACCAAACCAAACCAUUAUAAAAUGGUCAUCAACUGUGGCCCCAAUAUCCAAAAUAUGAGAGAGAGAGAGAGAGAGAGAGAGAGGGGUUGUGAGUUGAGAGAUGGGGGAAAGAGAUAGAGCUGAAGGAAGUUUAUGGAUAUGGGUGUGUGGGUAAGGAAAUUUAUUGCAUUUCCUUACCAACUCCACCCAUUCCAUUCAUUUCCUUUGGUUUUUUUCUUUCCCCUCUACUCUCCCAUUUUUGUAUCACUUUGUUUGUAAAUCAGCAGUACUAUUUAUUUAUCCUUUUAUCCAAUGAUUUCAUUUCUGAAA